CUCUCGUUAAUUAUAGCCCCGCCCACCGUCAGGCCCCGCCUUCUCGGGACCGAAGUCUCCGCCGCACCGGACACGGGACUCUCCGAGGUCGCUCACUGCCGGUGGGUGUGAUCAAGGCCAGGAUGCCGUUGGAGCCGGCCCUGGUGCUCUCUCCUUCCCUGCCCCCGGUUUCCAGUCGUCAAGAUCGCGGGUUCUCUGGAGUGCGCUCGGAGUCAGUUGUCAGGAGUCCCGCGGACGGCGUCCAGAAGUGGGCCUUUGGCGCCACCUGUCUUCGGUGCUUGCAGCCACCAGGAAAGCACAGCACUGCUCAAUGAACAAUUGCUUCACUCGUUAAGUAUUUGUGUAACUCUAACAUCUGCCGACUCCCCCCAGCAGAACAGCAGAUCUGCUCUCAUCGUAUUUGGAAGACCCUGGCCCUCAAGCUGAGUGGUCUUUGUGUCUUUAUAGCAGCUUGGGGUCCUUCCUCUUGAAUCCCGUUUCCCAGGGACAAAAGCACAGCCUCUCACCUGGGGGCCAAGAAUUGUUAGAGAAACAGCAGCCAAAAAGAAGAAAAAUACACCUGUCUAUUCCCGGCAACCACGAGAUACAGAAAACUAGCCAGCUUUGAUCUCAGCUGACAUUCUGGGCAGGAUCUCCCCCUUGGAGCAGUUUCGCAUCCUCCGACAUUUGGUGCACGGUUAUCAAUGUGGCCACUGCUUUCCUUUGUUCCUGUCAGAUCUGACUUCCAGGAGCUUUAUACCUUCACCCAGCAAGGCAGCAACUUGCCUUUCCUGCCUCGACUAAGGGUCGGGUCCUUGUCCUUUCCAGCCACCUCAGCGAUGACUUCGCACUUAGGAACUCUGGAGGGCCAGAGCCCAGCGGGUGUGACCUAAGAGGGAAGAUGACGGUCACAGAAACUACAGCAGCCUGCCACCUGGGGAGGUUCUGGGGCUCCAGUCGUCCUGAGUCUGGACCCACAGAGGAGGCACAAACCCUCAUGGGUUUGUUCUGGAUCAGGAAGGCAGCCUACACUUCCCUGGGUGCCCUUCUCGGGGCUGUUAGCCAAGGAAGAUAAAGCUCCACUUCUGGGGAGGCUGGGCGAGGCAAAUCUCCUUUGGCAGCUUUGGGCCACAGGAUGACGUGAAAUGGGCCACCAGCCCAUUCUUGGGACCUUGGGACCUCAGUCACCCUGGAAGUGUAGGUAACAGCUGAAGGAUCAUUCACUUAAUACAUAUUCACUGGACAUCAAUUGUGUGCUAGGCACUGUGCUGGCUGCUGGUGUGUGUGAUUGUGUGUGUGUGUGU
ensembl:lncRNA